GCAUCUAAAGCAAUGCAAGAUAGGCGAGUUUUUGAUGGAAUCUUUCUUAUGAUUGUUUAAGUUAUCAGGGCAUAUUUUUUUACAUUAGGCUCUAUAAUGGUCAGAAUUUGGUUGCACACAUCUCUACCCAUUAUCUUCAGCCUAUCUCCUUGGCCGUGGGUUUUUUUUUUUUUUUGACAGAGGGCGCGAGCAUGCACACAGGACACGGACAACACACACUCCCCUUAACAAAACCAUGGCCUAUCUCCCUUAUUAGUGAAAUGCUGAAUGUAAAAUUAUAGCAUACUUCAAACUUUUUAAUGGCUAAUUACCCAAAAAACUCCUGAACUUACAGCUUUUAUUUUUUUAUUUUUCUGUUUUUUCAAUCAAUGUUUCAUACGAACUUUUAGAUGGUUUUAAUUUUAGUCUCUGGUCAUUUUUGGGCUAAUUGGAGCUAGAAUUUGCUGAUAUGGAAUCUGAGGUCAAUAAAAAAACCAACUUGGCAAAAAUAAUGCUGAUUCAGCAAGAAAAAUUGCCAACUCAUUCCUUUAAUAAAGCCCCCUUUUUAGAUUAGGUAUUCCUCUCUUUCUCUACUUGGCCUGUGCUAAUUUCUUGCUUUGUUUUCCUCUCUCUAUUUAUCUCCAUCAAUUAAACCUUCUGUCUAGAAUUAAAAUCCCACCUGCUUCCCAUCAAUUCAACUAUCCAUAGAAAUAAAGACACAUUGCUAAAUUGCUUUGAAUAGCGUACCAUGGCCUAGGCUCCAAGACCCACAACUCUCCCAAUCUAGAUACCAUUCAGACCUUUUGAAGUUAGAGUUCACUGUCCAUCCUGGAUGCUCGAGCACUGGUGUCUAAUGGUAGACUCCAAUCUUGCCAAAACCAUCUUCUUGCCUUGCCGAAGGUUACCUUCCAUCAUUUCCUUCCCUUAACCUCUUGGAUGUUGAUCCUUCUGGGUGGGUGGGACGCAUGAUUGUAAGGUUUAGAUAUAGUUUCAUUGAAGAGAGAGUUAACCCUGUUUUAGUUGCAAAUUUGUUUCCCUUUGAUUGUGUGUUCUUGGAUCAAUAUUCAUUGGGCUUUAGUCCUCUUUGCGAUAAUCUAUGUUUAGGUAAGUUAGCAUGUGAAAAAUGUGAUGAAAUCUUGAAGCAGUAUGAAAGAAUAUAAUAUCAGGUCAAGCGACCUGUUUCCUCCAAUGGGUAGACGAGGCUGGAGGUUGAAGACAGGAUUUUUUUGACCUACUCAGAAAGCUCUUUAAUUUGAUAUUUUGCCGAGUCAGCUUUUUGUAUGUUUAUUUAUUUACUUUUACGAGCCUCAGAUGCCAUGUUAAUAAGUUCCAGUACCAAUUAGCCAAAAUAUAAAUGGAAGGUAAAAUUGAAACAACUUAAAAAGUUCAUCUGAGACAUUAAUUAAAAAAAAAUAAUGAGCUAUAUAAUUGAGAAUCCACUGUAAGUGCUGGAUUUUUUUUUGUUAAUUAACCCUUUUUAAUAGAUUUAGUUCCAUCAUCAUUUUGCUUCAUAUACUCAUCCAUUAUGUCAUGUUUUUUAGGAAUCUUCAUUAAUUUUCCCCUUAAAAUUGUGAAUUUUCCAAAAUUUUCAACUAGGUAUUCCAAUUUAAUAGAAAUAAAAUCUCUAUAAAAUGGAAUUGUUUAGAACUUGGCUUUAAGGGCGUUGCAGUCCUCCACUUCCUCAAUUAGCUUGUUAAAUUCUAGGUCAUUGCAUCAAAUGCUUAGUUGCUGAUGCUCACAGUUUGCUGUGAAAGAUUAUUUUCAUGUUUCUUUAUCUAAUUGGCUGCCUUGAUACGGUGAAUAUGUACUAAUGAACAAUUUGUAUGUUGAGUUUUCAACUCCCUGAAUGUUUGUUUAACAGGUUGAUCAUCGCGAAUGUUUCA
rnacentral:misc_RNA from 1 species